UACGGAGGGUGCAAGCGUUAUCCGGAUUCACUGGGUUUAAAGGGUGCGUAGGCGGGUAAGUAAGUCCGUGGUGAAAUCUCUGAGCUUAACUCAGAAACUGCCGUGGAUACUAUUUGCCUUGAAUAUUGUGGAGGUGAGCGGAAUAUGUCAUGUAGCGGUGAAAUGCUUAGAUAUGACAUAGAACACCGAUAGCGAAGGCAGCUUGCUACACAGUUAUUGACACUGAGGCACGAAAGCGUGGGGAGCAAACAGG
rnacentral:rRNA from 1 species